UGAGGAAUAUUGCGCAAUGGACGAAAGUCUGACGCAGCCAUGCCGCGUGCAGGAUGACGGCGCUACGCGUUGUAAACUGCUUUUAUAUGCCAAGAAACCUUCGGACGUGUCCGAAGCUGACGGUAGCAUAUGAAUAAGCACCGGCUAACUCCGUGCCAGCAGCCGCGGUAAUACGGAGGGUGCAAGCGUUAUCCGGAUUUAUUGGGUUUAAAGGGUCCGUAGGCGGAUCAUUAAGUCAGUGGUGAAAGCCGGCAGCUCAACUGUCGAACUGCCAUUGAUACUGGUGAUCUUGAAUGCUGUUGAAGUUGGCGGAAUAGGUCAUGUAGCGGUGAAAUGCUUAGAUAUGACCUAGAACACCGAUUGCGAAGGCAGCCAACUAAGCAGUUAUUGACGCUGAGGGACGAAAGCGUGGGGAGCGAACAGG
rnacentral:rRNA from 1 species